CUUAAUGUCAUGCAGGCACUGUUUCCGUACAUUUUUGUGUGAAAGAAUUACAACAACACAUAUUACAUGAGCAUCCAGCUGAAGUGAGGAAAGGGACCAGAAAAAAGAAAAGUAAAGGUGUCACUAGUCUUCCUACCCAGCCUGGGUUGCUCUUUGGUCACCGAGAAUCUCGCUUAUCAGUACAGGAGGAUACUGAAGAUGAAAAAAAUGAGAAUCAGAAACGUCGCAUAAAAACUCCUAAGAAUCUAGAUGAACAAUACUGGCUUCAAAAACAGAAACCAAAACCAGUACUACUUGCAAGUAAUAAGGAAAAGGUCCUCAAGUGUUCAGUUGACCACUGUAGAUUUCGAUUCAGUUCUGAGGAGAAUGUGAGGAUACAUGAAAAAUGUCAUGGUGAACCUGGGGAAAGAAGUGAAGAGAAGCUGUUUUUCUGUUGUGAAUGCUCAGGAAGGUUUUUGAAGUGGGGAGUGUGCCAGAUGCAUCUGUGGAAAGUACAUAGCAUAGAUGUUGAUCUUCUUACCUGUGGAAUAUGUCUUACCUACAAAACCGAUGCUGAACAAAAGCUUAUUAUUCACCAGAAAAUUCAUUCAGAUGUUCGUGAAUAUGUUUGUAAAGUAA